AGAGUUUGAUCCUGGCUCAGGAUGAACGCUGGCGGUAUGCUUUACACAUGCAAGUCAUACGGAAGUUAGUUUCGGCUAACUUCAGUGGCGGACGGGUGAGUAACACGUGAGAAUUCGCCUUUAGGAGGGGGAUAACAGGGGGAAACACCUGCUAAAACCCCAUAUGCCUUUGGGUCAAAAGAGAAAUCUGCCUAAAGAGAAGCUCGCGGCUGAUUAGCUAGUUGGUAGGGUAAAGGCCUACCAAGGCGACGAUCAGUAGCUGGUCUGAGAGGACGAUCAGCCACACUGGAACUGAGACACGGUCCAGACUCCUACGGGAGGCAGCAGUGAGGAAUUUUCUGCAAUGGGCGAAAGCCUGACAGAGCAAUACCGCGUGAGGGAAGAAGGCUUACUGAGUUGUAAACCCCUGUUACCUAAGGAGGAAGAUCUGACGUUACUUAGGAGACGAAGCAUCGGCUAACUCCGUGCCAGCAGCCGCGGUAAGACGGAGGAUGCAAGUGUUAUCCGGAAUCACUGGGCGUAAAGCGUCUGCAGGUGGUUUCUUAAGUCCACUGUUAAACCUCGAGGCUCAACCUCAAUUCAGCAUUGGAAACUGGGAAACUUGAGUAUAGUAGGGGUAGAGGGAAUUUCCAGUGGAGCGGUGAAAUGCGUAGAUAUUGGAAAGAACACCGAUGGCGAAGGCACUCUACUGGGCUAUUACUGACACUCAGAGACGAAAGCUAGGGGAGCAAAUGGGAUUAGAUACCCCAGUAGUCCUAGCCGUAAACGAUGGAUACUCGAUGUUGGGCGUAUCGACCCGU
rnacentral:rRNA from 1 species